CAGAUUUGGUAAUUGUCUCGCACAAGACUACUACCGCGGUUAGAAAAUCUGCCAGGAUUAUCUAACCAUCGAAAAAAGCCACCUGCCAGGGUGGUUUUUUUUCGA
rnacentral:antisense_RNA from 1 species